AGACCAAGUUUUUCGGGUUU
rnacentral:snRNA from 1 species